UCAUAGUGAGAGUAGAGAUUAGAGAUUGUGUACCUGAAACCCUCUUGUAACUUUAUUUAUUCCUUGGGCUCAAAGAAGCGGGCGCAAUGAGUGGUCCUCGUAUUAUUUGGCCUUUGGCCAACCCAAAACAGUAACAUAAAUUGUUAAACAAGGAUGUUUGUUUGACUCUGAUUAGGUUUGUUCUAAACUUCAUCCCAAAUUAUUUUAUGCAAGUGUAUUGG
rnacentral:lncRNA from 1 species